CAUGCAUAUGUAUAACCCACAAUUGUAUUGGUCAGAGUUAAAUUGCAGAGAACAUAAUUUAUUCAGCUAUUAAAAGCAGAGAGGGUAUUUUUAGGUAUUCAGUGUUGAGACAGAUUUAUUGUAAUAAUAGCCCCACAUUUUCUUUCCUCCUUUACAAUUUGUCUUUGUAACUCCUCCCCUCAAGAGAUUGAGUCUGUUUCCCUACCUCCUGAAUCUGGGCUCGCCUUUUGGCUUGCUUUGGCCAAUGGCAUGUGGCAGAAGUGAUAGUGUGCUGUUUCUAAACCUAAACUUCAAAAGACCUUGCACACUUUGCUCUCCCUCUUGGUAGCUUCCUCUCCCAUGAGAAUAAUCCAGGCUGGCCUGUUGGAAGGUGAGGGAGCAGUGAGAGUUGUCCUAGCUGAGGUCAUCUGAGACCAGCUGACCACAAGUACUUGAGCAAGCUCAGCGAGGUCAGCCAAACUCAACUUAGACUAUUAGCACUGGCCGGCUGACCCCACAGACUCAUGAGCAGUAAUAAAUGGUUAUUUUUAAGCUGCUGCCAUUUGGAGGGUGUUUGUUAUACAGCAUUAUUGUGGCAAUAGAUGACUGACACAGAGUGGCUUACAAAAUCCUUAGGAAGGCAAAAGAAGUAAAUUCUAGGGCCACAUCAUAGCAUAGACUCACUAAUGCCAGGAGUUGUUGAACCAGGAGAUUCUUGGCUAAGUUAAUAAACCACUGCUGUAAACCCUGGCUCCAGAACUCCAUCACUGCUGUGGUGAUCAGGGAGGGACUGCUGGAGCUGGUUUCUCAGAACCAUGCUCCUCUUGCUCCUGCAUGACUUAACACCAUCAAAACAGGGGCCCGUGCCUUGCUUUUCUCUCAUUUAAUUUAGUUUAUGCAAGUGCUUCUCAUCAGCAAAGUGUAAGUUAUACCUGACCUUCAGCUGUGAAGGGGCCUAGUGUCAAAGGGACUUUCAGCUUUCUAAUUUCUGUAACACAUGAGAAGGAGGCUGGAGUGGAUUUGCAGUGUCAGCCUCAGUAUCUGCCACAGCUCUAAUGGUCUUGAACAAGCAGGAUUCCUAAACCCUAUUCUGUAAGUUGUGCUCAGUGAUAUUGAAACAAUUUCUUUAAAUUCAUAUAUGCAGUAUUUUACAAUUGGGCAAAUCACUCUCUGUAGGGUCAAACAUUAUUAAUUCCAUUACUGGAAGUUGAGAGACUGAUGGAUGAACAUAGUACUAAGAUUUUAUGAACUCAUUGUUCCACCCAAACCCACAUGAAUGAGUUUUAAAGGGAACCAACAAUUAUAAGUCAUUAAGGAGAGGAAAACUGAUUGAUGUUUUGAAAAAUUCUUAGUCCUGUAUUGAUAUUUGAUAGAGCAUUACUAAUAUAACAGUGAUUUCAGAAGGAAUAAUAACAGACAUUUGGUAUUGACCUAAAGUUCUUAAAGUGCCAUACACUAUGUGAUAAAAGAAUAUUUAAUAUUUUUUUUUUUUGGUGUAGAGAUUUAGAAGGUUCUUAGGAAGACCGUGUCUUCUUAUCUGACCUUAAGAUGUCUGGUUUUAAGUGGUAAGAGAAUUAAUGCUUCCCAAUCUAACGAGUUAGCAAUUCCAGAAAAACCUGUGUCCCUGUGGAUACUUUCAUAAGGAUGGUGAUUUAAGACAAUAAUCACUGAAGAAAAGGGAAGGCAAUUUUUAGAUAACAGAAUUAUCAACAGUGAAGGUAUUAAAAUGAAAAUAAUUUUGUGGCUUCAUAUUUUGUUCCCUGUGUCUUGUUCAGCAGAGGUACAUGUUAUUAUGGUAUGUGAGGCCUACAGUGGCUUAUGCCUUACUAAGAACUGCUUUCUUUAUUCAGUCAUGUCCUUGUAAGGCUAGGAGUCCCUGGAGAUCACCAAAAAAAAAAAAAAAAAAAUAGUACUUGUUGUCAGGAGAACCUGCAGUCCCUCCAAAGGUGCCCCAUUGAUUCAAAAGCCAGAUACUACUUUGUCAACAAAGGCAUCCCAUGGUGAAAAGUCUGGAGGAUAACUUGCCCUUGGCUCAUUGUUGUGCAAUCAGAAAUUCAUUCAUGUGAGGAAAAAGCAGUUAAAACUGAUGGAAAAACGCCAAAGAAAGCGACUGUCAGACUGAUUGCUUUUUGGCAGAGGCUGAGAUCAAGAUUUACCAAGGAAAGCCCACCUAAAUAUGACCCAAGAGGAAGUGACAGAGUUCAAGAGCAUUACUAAGCCUGGAUACUGGAAUUUCAGUUACCUUGCAAGAUAUCAGGUGCCUCCUUCAAAUGAAUUUUUAAGUAUCUCCGUGAUGAUGAGGAAGAACAGGGACAUCAAUUAGGAUUCAGGAAGACAAGUCUUUGCAGAAAAUGCUUAGAGCAUCAAGGACUGCUAUUAAUAUUUGGAAGUUUAAAAGAGAGUAUAUUUUCCUCAGUCAACAAAUGACAAAAGUAAAGGCAUGGUUUUCAUUGUUUCUGGAAGAAGCCUGGCAGCAUUCCAUUCAGACAUCUGCCCUUUGAUCGUUCUAUUUUCCUCUUUACUUAUUUCAGUCCUUCUAAUCUUCAAGGCUGAGUCUGAAUAUUUCUUCCUGAGGCUUCUUCUAAUCAUCUCGGCCUUUAAGGACAACUCCCUCCUUCAACUCCUAUAGUCCUUACUAUUAUACAUGUCAUUUGAAAAUUUAGUACCUAUACAUUAUACUAUGAUUGAAUAAAUGUUCAUCU